UGAUGUUUUAUCUGUGGUGUUUUGCACAGGGGUUUUGUGUUCUCGUAGGAAUACUCUGAGGUAGUUUUUUGUCAAUGCGAUGCAGUUUGGGAAGUUGUCUUGCCCUCUUUUGUGUAUGCAACCUCCUCCCUUCAUCUGUCGUGACUAGACAGAUGAAAAUCUAUUACAUCAAUUUUGCCUUUAAGGUCAUUUUCUUUGAUUUCUUUGAUUGCUCUAUCUAUCUAUUUAUUUAUUUAUUUUAACAGGCUCUGUACUAAUUUUCCUGACAGAAUGACUAACAGAAAUACAAUUCUUGUGCACCUUUUGUAGUUAAUUCAUUAGGUCAACUCUAACCACUAAGCCCCUUGUCAGGUUAUUUCUAUUAGUGAUACGGAGCAAUUGACUUUAAAAGACUGAAGCCAGGUAGAGGAGCCUAUUCCACAAGGUCUCUUGGCUCCAGCCUUGUGAAGUGAAAUCUGCCAGGUGUGGGUAAUUUGACCUUUACUAUAUAGGAAACAUGAGGACUUAUGGGAGGAGUUGCCUUCCCAGGGGGAGUUUGAGUCUCAGGUUACCUAGGGUGCUUUUUCUCCUGUCCUGGUGAAAUGAACUCAGUGUUCCCCAGUAGGCUGCUUUUUCUUCGUUUUCUACCAUCUCUGUGAAAUAGUUUUAGAGACUAUGAGCUAGUUACGUUGGUGGUGCCUUCUCAGGACAGGAAAAUCCUGGUGGUGCUACUUCCCUGCAAAGUAGUUUGGCAGUGACUCAAGCUCAGAAUCUGGCAGGUAAGUGUUCCUGGGUCUUACAGUUGCUUUGUGUUGGGGAGUUUGAGUACUUCCUUCACCUUGUCUGUUUUCAGUGAAGUUACUUACGUGGAUUCUGAGCUUCCUUCCCAGCCCUUAAAAUAAAACAAUAAAAAAUAACCUCAGAAGCUCAAGUACAUGCAGGUAAGGCUGAUUUUGAACAUUGGUUACAUGACUACAUUGCUGUUGUGGUUUCCCCUGGCCAGCAGCUAACACCACAGCCAUUCACUCGCCCUGCCCUCUCCUUCUCUGGGAUUGGGGAGAGAAAUAGUAAAAAGAAGCCUGUGGGUCGAGGCAGAGACAAUUUAAUAAGUGAUGCACAAUGCAAUUGCCAACCACCUAUUAGUCUGGAAUCAGAAUUGUCAUAGUCCAAAAGCUUUAAAUUGGUUAAAUCCCUGAAAGUUAAUUAGUGUAAACUCACGUUGCAUCACUGAACUUGAAGCAGUAGGAUAGACUUGCACCAUUGCAGAGCCUCAGUCACGGAUUAAAUUGCCAUUGCCUUUAACUCUGCACUUAUACAAGAAUGAAAGAGAAAAGCACACCUUUCUACUUUGUCAGCUAAUGGCAGACCUACAGAAAAAAGAAGUUGUUAUUUAAAAAGUUAUGAUGUUUUAAGGCAUUUCACCAAAUCUGUAAUAUUUGGUAGUAAGCAGACAACAAAUGAAAGGGAAGAGGAAACAGUAGAAAGUACAUGUACUUGCAUGGCCUUAAUUUACGUGACAAUUGACAACAAUGACAAUCUACAAUGAUUUACAAGUCCCUUCCACCAUUCACCCUUGGGACUCUGGGGACCAGAAAUUCUCCCCCUCUCCCUGCCACACAUAACUCUCCUACCUCUCAACACAUCUGUGCAUGACACGCUUUCGAAUUUCUUUAACCUUUGACAAAACCUCAAGUGCAUUCUGGAGACAUACCAAGAAGAAUGUGCUCGUCUGAACAUCCCAAUAGUCGAAGCUCUGGAAGGCUACCAUAACUCACCUGAAGGAGAAGAAAGGGAGAAUGAACAAGGGGGAAAACACAUCUUCCCCUGACCCUACCUCAGAAACUAUUAACAAUGACGCCUUUCACACUUUUUCUUCAGGGAGCCUGUCUAUGAAGGGAACAGGACUGGCUCCCCCAGGUCGUCUGGCUCCCCCCUGGUAGAGUCCAUCUCCUUGUCUACAUACAGAAAGCUAUCUUCUGUGAGAUGAGUCUGCAAAACAUUCAGAUAAGCAUGUCCUUUUUUUUUCUUCUCUAUAAACACCAAUACUUACAGAACAGUUUUUUGUUGUUGUUGUUUUUAUUUCUUAUUACAAAAAACUGUUCUGUGGACUUCUCAGGUUCAGAACAAUUCUAGAGUUUAGACUAUGUAGGCUGGAUGAUUUAAAUCCCUUCAUGAUCUUAUUCACAAGCAAAGGUGCAUGAUUUUCUGUGAAGGCUUUUCUGUUUUUUCUUGCUAGGCUAACAUUUGCCUUCAAAAGUUUAGACAUUGAAGAAAAGUCAAAAUACAGUACUUGUUAGCAUAUAAAAAGCCUGGUGUAUACUAAGCGUAUAUAGUGUAUACACUAUAGUAUACACUAUACUAUAUAUAAGCAUAUAAAAAGCCUGGUGUAUAUGCACAUGUGUUCUGAAGCUGCAUAGGUAUGAAUAGACUAAGAAGUAUCAUUAAAUGUUGUACAUGCACAAGAUGACAUCCGAAACUAGCUCUGAAUCUACAAAAGCUCCUUUUUUCCUGCACCGAGGAAGUAAACUUAUUCCUCUCUUCAACAAGAAGUUAAAGAUUACUUAGUUAAUGAAAAAGCACUUAACUGCAUAAUUUCUCUUUCAGAUUACCAUUAUUAAUAGAGGAUGGACUUAAGUUCUGCAAGGUGGGGAAAAAUUGUAGCAGUGUUCUGAUAACCCAGCAUAUGACAUACAACGAUACAAAAAACAAAAACAAAAAAACCCACUCCUUCAUAUA